AGUUUGAUCCUGGCUCAGGAUGAACGCUAGCGGCAGGCUUAAUACAUGCAAGUCGAGGGGCAGCAUGAGUAGCAAUACUUGAUGGCGACCGGCAAACGGGUGCGGAACACGUACGCAACCUUCCUUUAAGCGGGGAAUAGCCCGGGGAAACCCGGAUUAAUACCCCAUAAUAUAUUGAGAAAGCAUUUUCUUUUUAUUAAAGAUUUAUCACUUAAAGAUGGGCGUGCGCCUGAUUAGGCAGUCGGCGGGGUAACGGCCCACCAAACCUACGAUCAGUAACUGGCGUGAGAGCGCGACCAGUCACACGGGCACUGAGACACGGGCCCGACUCCUACGGGAGGCAGCAGUAAGGAAUAUUGGUCAAUGGACGCAAGUCUGAACCAGCCAUGCCGCGUGGAGGAUGAAGGUCCUCUGGAUUGUAAACUUCUUUUAUUUGGGAAGAAAUGUGAAUUUUCUAUUUCACUUGACGGUACCAGAUGAAUAAGCACCGGCUAACUCCGUGCCAGCAGCCGCGGUAAUACGGAGGGUGCAAGCGUUAUCCGGAUUUACUGGGUUUAAAGGGUGCGCAGGCGGAUAUGUAAGUCAGUGGUGAAAUCUCCGGGCUUAACCCGGAAAUUGCCGUUGAUACUAUAUAUCUUGAAUGCUGUGGAGGUAAGCAGAAUAUGUCAUGUAGCGGUGAAAUGCUUAGAUAUGACAUAGAAUACCUAUUGCGAAGGCAGCUUACUACGCAGAUAUUGACGCUCAUGCACGAAAGCGUGGGGAUCAAACAGGAUUAGAUACCCUGGUAGUCCACGCCCUAAACGAUGAUUACUCGACAUACGCGAUACACUGUGUGUGUCUGAGCGAAAGCAUUAAGUAAUCCACCUGGGAAGUACGUUCGCAAGAAUGAACUCAAAGGAUUGGCGGGGGUCCGCACAAGCGGU
rnacentral:rRNA from 1 species